rfam:Gossypium hirsutum cultivar TM-1 chromosome 12, whole genome shotgun sequence
GUAAGGGAAGUUGAAAAAAUGGAUCCAUAACCUCGGGAAAAGGAUGGCUCUGAGGCCUAUGCAUGGGGAUCCCACUCUUAAAUCUAUCAACUGCUAGUGCCUUACUCGAGCUACAGGUAGUCGUGUGUUUGCCAGGGGACAGAUUGGGAAUGGCUCCCUCGUGCGCCUUCCUCGGGUGACUAACAUUCAACUUAGAAUUGGUAUGGACGAGGGGAAUCUGACUGUUUAAUUAAAACAAAACAUUGCGAUGGUCCUUACAGAUUCUGCCCAGCCUUUGAAUGUCAAAGUGAAGAAUGUAAUGCCCCUUACGCGUACUUGAGAUCGGGACAAGGUUUGAGGCAUUACUAUACGAUUUCGUAAGUACUCAGGUAAAAUAGGGUCAAAAAAUUUAUUUCGAAAUUAAAACCCAUCAAUCAUAUUCCCAAUGUCUCUAU